rnacentral:miRNA from 1 species
GUUUCGUUGUUUACAAUACAACAUCUUCAGAGCAAUCUAGAUUGCUCUGAAGAUGUUGUAUUGUAAACAACGAAACG